rnacentral:rRNA from 1 species
UACGUAGGGUGCAAGCGUUGUCCGGAAUUAUUGGGCGUAAAGCGUGCGCAGGCGGUUGUGCAAGACAGAGGUGAAAUCCCCCGGGCUUAACCUGGGAAUGGCCUUUGUGACUGCACGGCUAGAGUGUGUCAGAGGGGGGGUAGAAUUCCACGUGUAGCAGUGAAAUGCGUAGAUAUGUGGAGGAAUACCGAUGGCGAAGGCAGCCCCCCUGGGAUAACACUGACGCUCAUGCACGAAAGCGUGGGGAGCAAACAGG